GGGCAAUGUCGUCGUAUUUGCUUCAGAAAGUGCUUCCAGUAGAAAGAAAGGAGCCUCAAAGAAACCACUCUCAAAGCAGGAGAAAGCUGUAAUCUGUAUCCCCACUCCCUGGUUGGUUAUUAUUUCUGGAUACCAGCUAUUACAAUUGCUUCUAAUCACUGGUUACUGCAGACAAAAUCCACCCUCCCCUUUUGCUUCUCUUCUGGAAGCAGUUUUGAAACACAGAAAAAAGCUGGUGUGCACCUCCUGUAUAGGGACUCUGAGAAAAAUGAAGGUGAAUCAACAAAAGCACUUUGGACUUCCCUUUAUUUUUCUGAGUGACUCCAGAGUGACUCCAGAUUACCUCAUGCCAACAGGAGGGAAAUUGGUGCUAAUUCCAAAGGCACUGAGACUCAGUUACUUAAAAAGAAAAAUGGUAUGUAUGUAACUUUAUACUUAACUUACGCACACUUUAAACACUCAUCUUGAUUCAUUUCCAAAUCCCAUUCCCUUUCCAAUGAUCUUUUUCCAUCUGGUUGUGCCUAAUCAGUCCUUGCAUACUGUUCUUUUCAAAUGCAGACUUCUCACAAAUUAUAGUGAUCAUGUAUCCGGCUUAGCUCGGAGAAAGUCA
rnacentral:lncRNA from 1 species